rnacentral:lncRNA from 1 species
GUUCAUUGUCAUUAAGUACUUUCACGUGGUUGUGAAACCAUCAUCACUGUUCUUCCAGACUUUUUCAUUGUCCUAAACUGAAAUCCUAUAUCCACGGCUGUCCUUGCCCUCCUCCUUUAGCAGCCACCAUUCCGCCUCUGUGACUUUGAGCAUUUGAUACCUCUUGUAAAUGGGAUCAUACAAUUCUUGCCCUUUUGUGUGUGUGGCUUUUUUUACUUGACAUAAUGUCUUCGGAUUUUACCUUUGUCAUGGUAUAUAUUAAGGUUGGCUUCCUUCUUAAGGCUGAGUAAUAUCCCAAUUGUGUAUAUCUAUCUAUAGCUCUAUCUUUCUCUCCCUCUAUAUCUAUACCUUUACAUUACAUCUUGUUUUUCUCCAUUCAUCCAUCAAUGGCCAGUUGGGUUGUUUCUGCCUUUUGGCUAUUGUUUAAACUAAUGCUGCUAAGAAAUUGGUUUACAGAUAUUGAGUCCUUGCUUUCCAUUCUUUUGGAAUUGAAAUUCUAAAUCCCAAAUUGGAAUUCAAUUUCAAAUUCUUUUGGAAUGUGCUUAGAAGUGGAAUUGCUGCCAAGGAGCAUUCUAGAACUCAUUUCUGGAACUUUUGAUAGUUUAAAUGGUUACUGGGGAUUGAACCCAGGAGUGCUUAACCACUGAACCUCAUCCCAGCCCCUUUUAUUUUUUAUUUUUUUUAGUUGAUGGAUACUAUACCUUUAUUUUAUUUAUUUAUUUUUAUGUGGUGCUGAGGUUUGAAACCAGUGCCUCACACUUGCUAGGCAAGCACUCUGCCACUGAGCCCCAACUGCAGCCUCCCCAGCCCUUUUUAUUUAUUAUUAUUAUUUUUAUUUAUUAAUUUUUAAAGUUUUGGAUAUUUAUUUUUUAGUUGUAAAAUAAAUAUUAUUUAUUUUUAUGUGAUGCUGAGGAUCGAACCCAGGGCCUUGCACGUGCUAGGCGAGUGCUCUACCACUGAGCCACAACCCCAGCCCCCUUUAUUUUUUAUUUUGAGACAGGGUCUCACUAAUUGCUCAGGGCUUUGGUAAGUUGCUGAGGCUGGCACUGAGGUUGGUUAUCACCUCCAACAAUCUUUUACUCUGAUUCCACCUCUCCUUCCUGGAGGACCUCGAGCGACAUCAGGAGUCACUAUUGAUGAGAAGAUGGGUGAAUGUUUCUGAGAUUUUGUUUAAUCUUCAGAAAGUUAUAGUUAAUGAUUUCCACAUCAAGGGUUGCCCAGCAUACCACCAAUUUUGAAUUUAAAGCAGAGCAAAUAAAUGUGAACAAAUAAAUGUGUUUUGUUCAUAAAAAUUGUGCUUAUAAUUGUGGUAUAUAUACACAAUGGAAAGUUACUCAGCCAUAAAGAAGAAUGACUUUAUGACAUUUGCCAGUAAAUGGAUGGAUCUGGAGACUGUCAUGCUAAGUGAAAUAAGCCAGCCCCCAAAACCAAAGGUCAAAUGUUUUUGCUGAUGUGUGGAUGCUAACCCACACUAAAGUAGGGGGGGAGAGGAAGAAGAGAAGUUCAUAGAUUAGACAAAGGGGAAUGAAUGGAAGGGAGGGGGAUUAGGCAGAGGAAAGACAGUAGAAUAAAUCUAACAUAAUUUUCCUAUGUACACAUAUGAAAAUACCUAAGUAACUCCCACCGUCGUGCCUACCCACAAGAAUGAGGUCCUAAUUAGAAUAAUAUAUAUCCCAUGCUUGUAUAAUUUUAUCAAAAUACAUUCUACUGUCAUGUAUAAGUAGGAAGAACCAAUAAAAAAAUGGAAUUGAAAUACAGGGAAAAAAUCAUGUUUACUACUCAGUAAUUAUGUGAUUUUACUUAAUCAAAUAAUCUUUGCUUCAAGUGUUUCCUAGCCAAGUAUAAAAUGUCUUGAGAAGUACAAAAAUGAUAGAAGAUGUGAAAGAACUCUGAGAAACGUAGAAGAAACACCAAUGAAAGAUUGGAGAUGAAAGACUGCAAUGUGGAAGCCAAGCCAUACAUUAAGAAAGAUGGACAGACAGUGUUGGAAAAAGAACAGCAACUCCUGGGUACAAGAUGACUGUUCCCUAGAAAUGCUGGUUGGGUAAUCAGUAGUCUGACUAAUGUGGAAGAUCACAGCCCAGUAAAAAUGUGUUAUGGCUGAGUGUCUUGCAGUGCAAGCUGGUGCAAAUUAAGUGCUAAACACAUAAAAUAAAUAUAUGAAACUAGUUGUAUGUGCUGUAACUCACACUGCUGCAGGAGC